rnacentral:rRNA from 1 species
CAUUAUCGAACUCGGAGGGGAGGGAAGACAAGAGUGAAGGCUGUCGCUGGCUCGUUCGAGCAUGUGCACGUCUUCGUUCUCGUCGACCCUUCUCUCACACAACCCACACCUGUGCACCCACUGUAGGUCCUCGAAAGAGGAUCUACGUUUUUCACACACCCUCGUCGUAUGUCCAUAGAAUGUAAUAAAUCAUACAACUUUCAGCAACGGAUCUCUUGGCUCUCGCAUCGAUGAAGAACGCAGCGAAUUGCGAUAAGUAAUGUGAAUUGCAGAUUUUCAGUGAAUCAUCGAAUCUUUGAACGCACCUUGCGCUCCUUGGUAUUCCGAGGAGCAUGCCUGUUUGAGUGUCAUCGAAUUCUCAACCAUGCUUUGGCAUGGCUUGGACUUUGGGAGCCUGCCGGCUUAUCCGUCGGCUCUCCUGAAAUGCAUUGGCAAUGGGUGGGCAUGUCUUUGACGUGCACGGCCUUCGACGUGAUAAUGAUCGUCGUGGCUGGAGCGUCUUUUGGGACAUGCACUUUCCUUGCUUUACAAUACUUUCCCUGGCUGACCUGGCCGGGGCAAUUUAUUUCGAAACUUGACCUCAAAUCAGGUAGGACUACCCGCUGAACUUAAGCAUAUCAAUAAGCGGA